UUUAAGUGUAGCCAUGAGUUUUCGUGUCCAACUUUUAUCGUCCGUCUUAUUUGAAUUUUUUUAUGAUUAGCAUUUUUAUUAUUAUUAGAUGAUAAAACAUAAAUUGUACUUUAUGCGUGACUUAUGUUUUUUAUUUUUUAAAAUAAUUUUAAAUAAGACGGAUGAUCAAAGGUUGCACUUAAAAUGAGAUAAAGGGAGUACUAAUA
rfam:Oryza barthii chromosome 1, whole genome shotgun sequence.